GGGGCUAUAGCUCAGCUGGGAGAGCGCUAGCAUGGCAUGCUAGAGGUCCGGGGUUCGAUCCCCCGUGGCUCCACCA
rnacentral:tRNA from 2 species